GAAAGAGAUUUACUUGAGUGGUUGGUUGGUCUUGAGCCUGUUCAGGAUGAAUAUGAUAAUGAAAGAGGUGAUCAAGGUGAUAGGGCAGAAAGUGAUGACGUUUAAGUGAGAAGAUGAAAGUGAUGAGGAGGAAAUCGCCCAUGCUGUAGCGUUCAAGUGCAUCGGGGAUGCUCGUGAGAAAAACUACCAACAUCAUUUGGAAAAUUAAAUUAAGACAUAAUACCUCACUCUUCGUGAACAAGAUAAAACAGUGAAUGUAAGAAUAUGGCCAGCACCAUUGAAUCCAAGGGACCCAAGUGCAAUAGGCAAUUCCAGCUUUUAGUUUAUUUUAUUAAAAUUUUUCAGCAUAAUCAGCUAUAUGAUUCCUUACUUCCUGUUGCCGCCUGCACACAUAAAUUAACAGCUGGAAUUGCCUAUUGACUAGACUAUGGAACUGGAUGACAACAUGUUGGUUAUAUUUCUUUUCAACUAUGCAAGUAUUUGCACCCACUAAUUGCUGCAGAUGUCGUGGAUGUCUAUUGUCUAUGUUCAGUGUAUCAAGUAUAGGGUUGACUUUUUUAAUUAAAAAGGGUGGAUUUUUUAUUUUUUUUUAAAGGAGGGGUGGAAACCUUUCAGGGGGGGGGGCAAGCAGCACUACUGAGUGAGCUUUUUUACAGGGGUUUGGCAUUAGGGUUAAAGACUUUUGAAGCAAAAUUUUGGUGGGGUUGAACACUUUAUAAGAUGGGUUAGAGAGAUUCUAAGGGGGGG